CCAGGUGGUUUGGACUUCAGCCCCCAGAAUCCCUUGCCGCUGGCCAAGCCGAUGGGGGCUUCUGGGAGUUGAAGUCCAAAAUAGCUGGAGGAGCCAUGUUUGGCCAUCACUGCCCCAUCAUCUCCCAGAAUGCCAGAGCUUUGACCAGAGUGGCUAAGGGCUCAUAGAAUCAUAGAGUAAUAGAGUUGGAAGAGACCUUCUAGUCCAGUGGUUCUCCACCUGUGGCUCCACAGAUGUUUUGGCCUUCAAUUCCCAGAAAUCCUAACAGCUGUUUAUCCAUGCCUCACAGCCUCUGAGGAUGCCUGCCGUAGAUGUGGGCGAAACGUCAGGAGAGAAUACUUCUGGAACAUGGCCACACAGCCCGAAAGACAUACAACACGUUCCUGAACUCAGGAUCAGUGUUGGGUUGGAGCAGCCUACCUACAGUAAGGAAUGGAAUAAAGCUUGAGCUGGAAGAAAACAGGUUUCUGCUCUAGCUGAUCAUACUGUAACUGCAGCAGGCAAAGUAAACAUCUGCCUCCAGAAGAUAUUACUUCACCAGCUAACUCAAGCCUGUUUAGAAACCAUACAUCUAUAGGUUUGGAUAUCAAAAUGGAAAUCAUGAGAACAGUACAAGCUGAUGAAAGGAAAAACACAUCCGUGGAUACAUUUUGGAGAGCUUUCAAGUUCUCCCUAAAAGGUUUAACAUGUUUUUGUUUACUUAUGUAAGGCUUAACAUUUUUCAUUCCACAUAUCCAUAUUGAUAGCUUUGGAUUAAAUGUUUACAAAAAUGUUGAA